rnacentral:misc_RNA from 1 species
AUAUUUUUAUGUUAUCGUAGAGAGCGCUUGCACUGACAUAUAACGACAUCUAACAACGAAAAUGUAACUAAUCUGAGCGCAUGGCGCCAUGAUACUUGUAGAGGGACGUUUCGCGCCCAUGGCCUGGGGGUUAAUAAUAAAUAACCGAUUCCAUCACAUGUACUUUACUUCUACGUGCUUUACUUCUAGUCCUUAGAAUCUAGGCAGCGCCUAUGACAGGCGACGUAGAUCUUGAUAGUGUCGCAUAUGCGGCUAGCAUUUCUUUGAAGUAUCGUCUUCGAACUACGAAUUCGUGCAGAUUUCUGAAACGUUUCAAAAAGAAAGAAAAAGUCAAAGAUUAAAAGUAAGCUCGACAGGAUCCGUUGUAUUGACACUGACAAUCAGUUGACUAUAGUUGGAUAUCAUAUGUUUUUGUUAAGGUUAAGUGUAAGACGUUUUCUUUUAUACCACUUUCCUUGGGUGCGAAACGAAUAUCUAGUGGUUAUAAUUUGUGUGUUAGUGCAUGCUGUGUAAUUUUCUUGGAGUUUGCUUGGAUUUAUCUUCUAACGCUGUGAAAUGCUGACAAGCUGGCAACAUGCAUAUGACAGCAUAGUUGAUACGGACAUACGGUUUAGCACCUGAUAGUGAAUAUGUUAGAAAUCUAUCGUUCAUGAAAUAUGAUUCAAACUGGGAGCGUAAUUAUACUUAAUUCAAAUUGAAAUCUUAUUUGACUCGAUAUUACACGUGUUUAUGUCGUGUAGCUUGAUAUUCGUAAUGGAACGAACAUCAUUUCGAUCACGUGUACGGAACAGAUGUUUCCAAAGACAACCUGUUUCAGAACAGUUUGUAGAUACAUGAUCACGUUGACAACCAAAAUUCAGCCAGUGCCAAUUACAAAAACGUGAUUUGGAAGAUUGCCUACAUGCGUGAUUAAAAUGCAAUUCACUAGCGCCAAAAUGUUUCUAACGUUGUAUUUGCGAUAAAUAAAUAUUCAAUCGAAUUUUUUCAACAUAAUAUUUUCAUAAUACGAUAUUUUAUAAUAUUAUAAUUAACAUGUUAGUCAUUAUGUAAUUAUCUUUGUCUAAAUAUAGCAUUAUAGAAAUAUUUAUUUAGAACAAUUUAUUUUCACGUUAUAA